UUGUUAUCGAGAGCGUGGCGAAAGCACUGGCUUUAUGACCCACCGGCAACCCUGAGAAAUUCUCGAACGGGUGCCAAAUCCAGCCCAAACUUGGUUUAAGUUGGGGAAAGAUACAUAG
rnacentral:ncRNA from 2 species